UACGGGGGGAGCAAGCGUUGUUCGGAUUUACUGGGCGUAAAGGGCGCGUAGGCGGCCACCGCAAGUCAGUUGUGAAAGCUCUGGGCUUAACCCAGAAAGGUCAACUGAUACUGCGGGGCUAGAGUGCAGAAGGGGCAACUGGAAUUCUCGGUGUAGCGGUGAAAUGCGUAGAUAUCGAGAGGGACACCUGCGGCGAAGGCGGGUUGCUGGGCUGACACUGACGCUGAAGUGCGAAAGCGUGGGGAGCAAACAGG
rnacentral:rRNA from 1 species